rnacentral:rRNA from 1 species
CCCUGAUCCAGCCAUGCCGCGUGAGUGAUGAAGGCCCUAGGGUCGUAAAGCUCUUUCGCCAGAGAUGAUAAUGACAGUAUCUGGUAAAGAAACCCCGGCUAACUCCGUGCCAGCAGCCGCGGUAAUACGGAGGGGGUUAGCGUUGUUCGGAAUUACUGGGCGUAAAGCGCGCGUAGGCGGAUCGGAAAGUUGGGGGUGAAAUCCCGGGGCUCAACCCCGGAACUGCCUCCAAAACUAUCGGUCUAGAGUUCGAGAGAGGUGAGUGGAAUUCCGAGUGUAGAGGUGAAAUUCGUAGAUAUUCGGAGGAACACCAGUGGCGAAGGCGGCUCACUGGCUCGAUACUGACGCUGAGGUGCGAAAGUGUGGGGAGCAAACAGGAUUAGAUACCCUGGUAGUCCACACCGUAAACGAUGAAUGCCAGUCGUCGGGUAGCAUGCUGCUCGGUGACACACCUAACGGAUUAAGCAUUCCGCCUGGGGAGUACGGUCGCAAGAUUAAAACUCAAAUGAAUUGACGG